rnacentral:rRNA from 1 species
GACGAACGCUGGCGGCGUGCUUAACACAUGCAAGUCGAACGCUGAAGCCUAGCUUGCUGGGUGGAUGAGUGGCGAACGGGUGAGUAACACGUGAGUAACCUGCCCCCUUCUUUGGGAUAACGCCCGGAAACGGGUGCUAAUACUGGAUAUUCACUGGUCUUCGCAUGGGGGUUGGUGGAAAGGUUUUUUCUGGUGGGGGAUGGGCUCGCGGCCUAUCAGCUUGUUGGUGGGGUGAUGGCCUACCAAGGCUUUGACGGGUAGCCGGCCUGAGAGGGUGACCGGUCACAUUGGGACUGAGAUACGGCCCAGACUCCUACGGGAGGCAGCAGUGGGGAAAUAUUGCACAAAUGGGCGAAAAGCCCUGAUGCAAGCG